rnacentral:rRNA from 1 species
UACGUAGGGGGCAAGCGUUGUUCGGAAUUACUGGGCGUAAAGGGCGCGUAGGCGGCACGGCAAGUCAGGAGUGAAAGCCCUGGGCUCAACCCAGAAACUGCUUUUGAAACUGCCGAGCUAGAGUGCGGAAGGGGCAACUGGAAUUCCCAGUGUAGCGGUGAAAUGCGUAGAUAUUGGGAAGAACACCUGAGGCGAAGGCGGGUUGCUGGGCCGACACUGACGCUGAGUGCGCGAAAGCCAGGGGAGCGAACGGG